UACAGAGGAGCCAAGCGUUGUCCGGAUUGACUGGGCGUAAAGAGCUCGUAGGCGGUGUGUCACGUCGGCCGUGAAAACCUGCAGCUUAACUGUGGGCGUGCGGUCGAUACGGGCAUCACUGGAGUUCGGCAGGGGAGACUGGAAUUCCUGGUGUAGCGGUGAAAUGCGCAGAUAUCAGGAGGAACACCGGUGGCGAAGGCGGGUCUCUGGGCCGAUACUGACGCUGAGGAGCGAAAGCGUGGGGAGCAAACAGG
rnacentral:rRNA from 1 species